rnacentral:rRNA from 1 species
CGUGGCACCUGCCUGNAAACUGGAANACUUCGGGAAACCAAGCUAANCCGGAANGGAUCUUCUCCUUCUGGGAAAAUNAUUGAANAUGGUUUCGGCNAUNACUNACNANUGGGCCCGCGGUGNAUNAGCUAGUUGGUGAGGUAACGGCUCACCAGGCAACGAAUGCAUAGCCGACCUGAGAGGGUGAUCGGCCACACUGGGACUGAGACACGGCCAGAACUCCUACGGGAGGCAGCAGUAGGGAAUCUUCGGCAAUGGACGAAAGUCUGACGGAGCAACGCCGCGUGAGUGAUGAAGGCUUUCGGGUCGUAAAACUCUGUUGUUAGGGAGGAACAAGUACGAGAGUAACUGCUCGUACCUNGACGGUACCUACCCAGAAAGCCACGGCUAACUACGUGCCAGCAGCCGCGGUAAUACGUAGGUGGCAAGCGUAUCGAUAUUUGGGG